rnacentral:rRNA from 1 species
UACGUAGGUGGCGAGCGUUGUCCGGAAUGACUGGGCGUAAAGGGAGCGUAGGUUGCGAUUUAAGUUAGGUGUGAAAGGUCAAGGCUCAACCUUGGAAGUGCAUUUAAAACUGGAUUGCUAGAGUACAGGAGGGGUAAGCGGAAUUCCUAGUGUAGCGGUGGAAUGCGUAGAUAUUAGGAGGAACACCAGAGGCGAAGGCGGCUUUCUGGACAUUAACUGACGCUGAGGCUCGAAAGCGUGGGGAGCAAACAGG